GAUGAACGCUGGCGGCGUGCCUAAUACAUGUAAGUCGAGCGAACAGACUAGGAGCUUGCUCCUCUGACGUUAGCGGCGGACGGGUGAUUAACACGUGGAUAACCUACCUAUAAGACUGGGAUAACUUCGGGAAACCGGAGCUAAUACCGGAUAAUAUAUUGAACCGCUUGGUUCAAUAGUGAAAGACGGUUUUGCUGUCACUUAUAGAUGGAUCCGCGCCGCAUUAGCUAGUUGGUAAGGUAACGGCUUACCAAGGCGACGAUGCGUAGCCGACCUGAGAGGGUGAUCGGCCACCCUGGAACUGGCACACGGUCCAGACUCCUACGGGACGCAGCAGUCGGGAAUCUUCAGCAGUGGGCGAAAGCCUGACGGAGCAACGCCGCGUGAGUGAUGAAGGUCUUCGGAUCGUAAAACUCUGUUAUUAGGGAAGAACAAAUGUGUACGUAACUAUGCCCGUCUUGACGGUACCUAAUCAGAAAGCCACGGCUAACUACGUG
rnacentral:rRNA from 1 species